ensembl:snRNA U6 U6 spliceosomal RNA
AUGCUCACUUCAGCAGCACAUAUUGUAAAAUCAGAGCGAUACAGAGAUUAGCGCGGCCCCUGAGAGCAAGGAUGACAUGCAAAUUCGUGAAGUGUUCCAUAUUUUU